CAGUAGCCGCGGGAAUACGAGGGGUGCAAGCGUUAUUCGGAUUGAUUGGGCGUAAAGCGAGCGCAGGCGGUUAGAUAAGUCUGAAGUUAAAGGCUGUGGCUUAACCAUAGUGCGCUUUGGAAACUGUUUAACUUGAGUGCAAGAGGGGAGAGUGGAAUUCCAUGUGUAGCGGUGAAAUGCGUUGAGAUCGGAAAGAACACCAACGGCGAGAGCACUCUGCUGGGCCGACACUGACACUGAGAGACGAAAGCUAGGGGAGCGAACAGGAUUAGAUACCCCGGUAGUCCCUGUCUCUUAUACA
rnacentral:rRNA from 1 species